rnacentral:rRNA from 1 species
CACGUAGGGGCCAAGCGUUGUCCGGAUUUAUUGGGCGUAAAGAGCUCGUAGGCGGUUCGACAAGUCGGGUGUGAAAACUCCGGGCUCAACCCGGAGACGCCACCCGAUACUGUCGUGACUGGAGUCCGGUAGGGGAGUGGGGAAUUCCUGGUGUAGCGGUGAAAUGCGCAGAUAUCAGGAGGAACACCGGUGGCGAAGGCGGCUCUCUGGGACGGUACUGACGCUGAGACGCGAAAGCGUGGGGAGCGAACAGG